GACCGUGUGCCCGAGUGGUUCAGGGGCUCGCCUGCAAAGCGAGUUACGUGGGUUCAAUUCCCGCCACGGUCUCCA
rnacentral:tRNA from 1 species